AUUGAACGCUGGCGGCAUGCCUUACACAUGCAAGUCGAACGGCAGCACGGGUGCUUGCACCUGGUGGCGAGUGGCGAACGGGUGAGUAAUACAUCGGAACAUGUCCUGUAGUGGGGGAUAGCCCGGCGAAAGCCGGAUUAAUACCGCAUACGAUCUACGGAUGAAAGCGGGGGACCUUCGUGCCUCGCGCUAUAGGGUUGGCCGAUGGCUGAUUAGCUAGUUGGUGGGGCAAAGGCCUACCAAGGCGACGAUCAGUAGCUGGUGUGAGAGGACGACCAGCUGCACAGUGGGUGAGGGAUGGACCAUAGUCCAAUGAGGUGCAGAACGGUGCGAUGUUAGACAAUGGGCUAAGGCCUGAGCCACGAGUCUGUCGCGUGAGAAAACGGCCUUCGGCUUGUGAGGGAGGGUUAUGCGUAAAGAACGACAAGGGCCGAAGACGAACGGGGGGUGACGGGAGCGGGAAAAUAAGCGCCGGCUAACACCAUG
rnacentral:rRNA from 1 species